GCUGGCGGCGUGCUUAACACAUGCAAGUCGAACGGAAAGGCCCUGCUUUUGUGGGGUGCUCGAGUGGCGAACGGGUGAGUAACACGUGAGUAACCUGCCCUUGACUUUGGGAUAACUUCAGGAAACUGGGGCUAAUACCGGAUAGGAGCUCCUGCUGCAUGGUGGGGGUUGGAAAGUUUCGGCGGUUGGGGAUGGACUCGCGGCUUAUCAGCUUGUUGGUGGGGUAGUGGCUUACCAAGGCUUUGACGGGUAGCCGGCCUGAGAGGGUGACCGGCCACAUUGGGACUGAGAUACGGCCCAGACUCCUACGGGAGGCAGCAGUGGGGAAUAUUGCACAAUGGGCGGAAGCCUGAUGCAGCAACGCCGCGUGCGGGAUGACGGCCUUCGGGUUGUAAACCGCUUUCGCCUGUGACGAAGCGUGAGUGACGGUAAUGGGUAAAGAAGCACCGGCUAACUACGUGCCAGCAGCCGCGGUGAUACGUAGGGUGCGAGCGUUGUCCGGAUUUAUUGGGCGUAAAGGGCUCGUAGGUGGUUGAUCGCGUCGGAAGUGUAAUCUUGGGGCUUAACCCUGAGCGUGCUUUCGAUACGGGUUGACUUGAGGAAGGUAGGGGAGAAUGGAAUUCCUGGUGGAGCGGUGGAAUGCGCAGAUAUCAGGAGGAACACCAGUGGCGAAGGCGGUUCUCUGGGCCUUUCCUGACGCUGAGGAGCGAAAGCGUGGGGAGCGAACAGGCUUAGAUACCCUGGUAGCCCACGCUGUAAACGGUGGGUACUAGGUGUGGGGUCCAUUCCACGGGUUCCGUGCCGUAGCUAACGCUUUAAGUACCCCGCCUGGGGAGUACGGCCGCAAGGCUAAAACUCAAAGGAAUUGACGGGGCCCCGCACAAGCGGCGGAGCAUGCGGAUUAAUUCGAUGCAACGCGUAGAACCUUACCUGGGUUUAACAUGGAUCGGGAGUGCUCAGAGAUGGGUGUGCCUCUUUUGGGGUCGGUUCACAGGUGGUGCAUGGCUGUCGUCAGCUCGUGUCGUGAGAUGUUGGGUUAAGUCCCGCAACGAGCGCAACCCUUGUUCACUGUUGCCAGCACGUUAUGGUGGGGACUCAGUGGAGACCGCCGGGGUCAACUCGGAGGAAGGUGGGGAUGACGUCAAGUCAUCAUGCCCCUUAUGUCCAGGGCUUCACGCAUGCUACAAUGGCUGGUACAGAGAGUGGCGAGCCUGUGAGGGUGAGCGAAUCUCGGAAAGCCGGUCUCAGUUCGGAUUGGGGUCUGCAACUCGACCUCAUGAAGUCGGAGUCGCUAGUAAUCGCAGAUCAGCAACGCUGCGGUGAAUACGUUCCCGGGGCUUGUACACACCGCCCGUCAAGUCAUGAAAGUUGGUAACACCCGAAGCCGGUGGCCUAACCGUUGUGGGGGAGCCGUCGAAGGUGGGACUGGUGAUUAGGAC
rnacentral:rRNA from 1 species